AGUGAACGCUGGCGGUAGGCCUAACACAUGCAAGUCGAACGGCAGCACAGUAAGAGCUUGCUCUUACGGGUGGCGAGUGGCGGACGGGUGAGGAAUACAUCGGAAUCUACUUUUUCGUGGGGGCUAACGUAGGGAAACUUACGCUAAUACCGCAUACGACCUACGGGUGAAAGCAGGGGAUCUUCGGCCCUUGCGCGAUUGUAUGAGCCGAUGUCGGAUUAGCUAGUUGGCGGGGUAAAGGCCCACCAAGGCGACGAUCCGUAGCUGGUCUGAGAGGAUGAUCAGCCACACUGGAACUGAGACACGGUCCAGACUCCUACGGGAGGCAGCAGUGGGGAAUAUUGGACAAUGGGCGCAAGCCUGAUCCAGCCAUACCGCGUGGGUGAAGAAGGCCUUCGGGUUGUAAAGCACUUUUGUUGGGAAAGAAAAGCAGCAGGUUAAUACCCCGCUAUUCUGACGGUACCAAAAGAAUAAGCACCGGCUAACUUCGUG
rnacentral:rRNA from 1 species